AAAUCAAGCGCGAAAAGGGCGUUUGGUGAAUGCCUAGGCAGUAAGAGGCGAUGAAGGACGUGAUACUCUGCGAUAAGUCAUGGGGAGCUGAGAAUAGGCUUUGAUCCAUGAAUUUCCGAAUGGGGGAACCCACCUGACAGUUUGAUAUAAUUGCCUGACCACUUUCGAGUGAGACGGCAGCUUAUAUCCGGCUGAACCAGGUACUUAUAGACUGAAUACAUAGGUUUAUAAGAGCAAACCCGGGGAACUGAAACAUCUAAGUACCCGGAGGAAAGGACAUCAAUAGAGACUUCCCUAGUAGCGGCGAGCGAACGGGAACCAGCCGAGCCUGAUAAGUGACUAGAACAUGUUGGAAACCAUGGCCAUAGCGGGUGACAGCCCCGUAUAGGAAGCUUUGAGGGACGUAUUAAGUAGGGCGGAACACGUGAAAUUCUGUCUGAAGAUCGGGGGACCACCCCCGAAGGCUAAGUACUCCUUACUGACCGAUAGUGAACCAGUACCGUGAGGGAAAGGUGAAAAGCACCCCGACGAGGGGAGUGAAACAGUUUCUGAAACCGGACGCCUACAAGCAGUCGGAGGGGCCUUGAGCCCUGACGGCGUACCUUUUGUAUAAUGGGUCAUCGACUUGGUCUCACGAGCAAGCUUAAGCCGUUAGGUGUAGGCGCAGCGAAAGCGAGUCUUAAUAGGGCGCAUGAGUUCGUGGGAUCAGACCCGAAACCGAGUGAUCUAGGCAUGACCAGGAUGAAGGUAAGGUAACACUUACUGGAGGUCCGAACCCACACCUGUUGAAAAAGGUCGGGAUGAGUUGUGCCUAGGGGUGAAAGGCCAAUCAAACUCGGAGAUAGCUGGUUCUCUGCGAAAUCUAUUUAGGUAGAGCGUCAUCCGAAUACCCCGGGGGGUAGAGCACUGGAUGGGUAAUGGGGCCCCACAGGCUUACUGAUCCUAACCAAACUCCGAAUACCCGGGAGUACUAGAUGGCAGACACACAGCGGAUGCUAACGUCCGUUGUGAAGAGGGAAACAACCCUGACCUCCAGCUAAGGCCCCUAAUUCAUGGCUAAGUGGGAAAGCAGGUGGGACGACCAAAACAACCAGGAGGUUGGCUUAGAAGCAGCCAUCCUUUAAAGAUAGCGUAACAGCUCACUGGUCUAGAUAAGUUGUCCUGCGGCGAAGAUGUAACGGGGCUCAAGCCAUGAGCCGAAGCUGAGGAUGCCGUAAGGCAUGGUAGCAGAGCGUAGUGUGACAUAGUCUCAUGUGUCUUUCGAUCCUUCGGGAUCAUUGGACACAAGAGGCUUUCUGUGAAGCGGGCGCGUGAGCGAUCCCGUGGAGAGAUCACUAGUGAGAAUGAUGACAUGAGUAGCGACAAACAGGGUGAGAGACCCUGUCGCCGAAAGUCCAAGGGUUCCUGCUUAAAGCUAAUCUGAGCAGGGUGAGCCGACCCCUAAGGCGAGGCCGAAAGGCGUAGUCGAUGGGAACCAGGUUAAUAUUCCUGGGCCAGUAAGAAGUGACGGAUCUCGAGGGUAGUUCAUCCUUAUCGGAUUG
rnacentral:rRNA from 1 species